AACGAACGCUGGCGGCAUGCCUAACACAUGCAAGUCGAACGAUGCCUUCGGGCAUAGUGGCGCACGGGUGCGUAACGCGUGGGAAUCUGCCUUUCGGUUCGGAAUAACUCAGGGAAACUUGAGCUAAUACCGGAUAACGACGCAAGACCAAAGAUUUAUCACCGAAAGAUGAGCCCGCGUAGGAUUAGCUAGUUGGUGAGGUAAAGGCUCACCAAGGCGACGAUCCUUAGCUGGUCUGAGAGGAUGAUCAGCCACACUGGGACUGAGACACGGCCCAGACUCCUACGGGAGGCAGCAGUGGGGAAUAUUGGACAAUGGGCGAAAGCCUGAUCCAGCAAUGCCGCGUGAGUGAUGAAGGCCUUAGGGUUGUAAAGCUCUUUUACCCGGGAAGAUAAUGACGGUACCGGGAGAAUAAGCCCCGGCUAACUCUGUG
rnacentral:rRNA from 1 species